CCUACGGGAGGCAGCAGUGGGGAAUCUUGCGCAAUGGGCGAAAGCCUGACGCAGCAACGCCGCGUGCGGGAAGAAGGCUUUCGGGCUGUAAACCGCUUUCAGCAGGAACGAAAAUGACGGUACCUGCAGAAGAAGGAGCGGCCAACUAUGUGCCAGCAGCCGCGGUGAUACAUAGGGCUUCAAGCGUUGUCCGGGAUUUAUUGGGCGUAAAGAGUUCGUAGGCGGUCGAGUAAGUCGGGUGUGAAAAUUCUGGGCUCAACCCCAGAGACGCCACCCGAUACUGCUUAACUUGAGUUCGAUAGGGGAUGGGGAAUUCCUAGUGUAGCGGUGAAAUGCGCAGAUAUUAGGAGGAACACCGGUUGGCGAAGGCGCCAUC
rnacentral:rRNA from 1 species